AUGGCGAAAACCAUGGUGCUCCUGCAGCUCUGCGCGACGAUCGCGGCACAGGCGCACGCGCAGGCGCUGACGCAGCUGGCAGCGGAGGAGACGCCGCCGGGGGCGGGCGUGAAGGUAUCGUUCCGGCCUAGCGUGGCCAUCGUGGCGGGCAUCUUCACCAUGAUCUUCUCCCUCACCUUCUUCCUCCUCAUGUACGCCAAGUUCUGGCACCCCGCCAACACGCCCCUCCUGCCGGCCACCACCACCGCCAGCCCGUUCUGCGGCACUGACCCUGCAACGGCCGCUUUGGAGGAGGCGAGCGCCGGCGUGGGCAAGGCGGUCAUCGAGUCGCUGCCCUUCUUCCGGUUCGCGGCGCUGGCGGGGCGCGGCAGGGGCUGGAGUGCGCCGUGUGCCUGGCCCGCUUCGACGAUGCCGACCUGCUCCGCCUGCUCCCGCGCUGCCGCCACGCCUUCCACCUCGACUGCGUCGACCGCUGGCUGCACUCCAGCGCCAGCUGCCCGCUCUGCCGCGCUCGCGUCCACCCCGACGACGCCGACCUCGGCUUCAAGUACGCCGCCGCCAGCGCGCGAUUCGUCUUGGGCGCAGGCGACGACGACGCCGCUGUUGGUGCCGCCCCCGCGCCAUCAUCCGGCCGCGACCUCCUCACCGGCAUCUUCGUCGAGCGCGUGCCGUCCUCGCGCUUCGGUGAUGAUGCUGAUGCCACGGAUUCUUGUAAGAAGGUGGAGCUGGACCGGCACCGGCACCGCAUCGUGGUGUCGGACAGUGUGUUCAAGAGCCGGUGGAGCGACCUCAACUCAGCGGACCUCAUCGCGCUGGACACCGAGAUGCUGCGCUCCGUCUCCAGCGGCCGCUUCCCCUAGCUGUACCCGGACGACGACAUAUUGGGUCGGAGGCCGUGGAGCCAUCACGCCCGAUUUGUGA
rnacentral:rRNA from 1 species